GAUGAACGCUGGCGGCGUGCCUAACACAUGCAAGUCGAGCGAUUCUCUUCGGAGAAGAGCGGCGGACGGGUGAGUAACGCGUGGGUAACCUGCCCUGUACACACGGAUAACAUACCGAAAGGUAUGCUAAUACGAGAUAAUAUACUUUUAUCGCAUGAUAGAAGUAUCAAAGCUCCGGCGGUACGGGAUGGACCCGCGUCUGAUUAGCUAGUUGGUAAGGUAACGGCUUACCAAGGCGACGAUCAGUAGCCGACCUGAGAGGGUGAUCGGCCACAUUGGAACUGAGUCACGGUCCAAACUCCUACGGGAGGCAGCAGUGGGGAAUAUUGCACAAUGGGCGAAAGCCUGAUGCAGCAACGCCGCGUGAGCGAUGAAGGCCUUCGGGUCGUAAAGCUCUGUCCUCAAGGAAGAUAAUGACGGUACUUGAGGAGGAAGCCCCGGCUAACUACGUGCCAGCCGCCGCCGUAAUAC
rnacentral:rRNA from 1 species